rnacentral:rRNA from 1 species
UACGGGGGGGGCAAGCGUUGUUCGGAAUUACUGGGCGUAAAGGGUUUGUAGGUGGCUUGCUAAGUCAGACGUGAAAUCCCUCAGCUUAACUGGGGAACUGCGUCUGAUACUGGCGAGCUUGAGUGCAGGAGAGGAACGCGGAAUUCCAGGUGUAGCGGUGAAAUGCGUAGAUAUCUGGAGGAACACCGGUGGCGAAGGCGGCGUUCUAGACUGUAACUGACACUGAGAAACGAAAGCCAGGGUAGCAAACGGG